rnacentral:tRNA from 1 species
GCUAGAGUGGCAGAGCCUGGUAAUUGCAGGAGGCCUAAGACCUCCCACCCAGAGGUUCAAAUCCUCUCUCUAGCU